AUAGCAUACACUUUUUUGUAACAAUGCAAGAGUUAAAGUACAGUAAUUAGGCACCUUCUGGUUUGAAAACCAUCCCAAGACUAACUGAAGCAGCAUGACUACUGAACCAAUCUUCUGUGUUGCCAACUGAUACAAGAGUUGAUAGAUGAGUUGACUGGGUACCUUCCAUAGGAAACCCAGACGUCAGUCUUCCCCUGUGGUGGAAAGGUUGAG